rnacentral:rRNA from 1 species
GAUGAACGCUGGCGGCGUGCCUAACACAUGCAAGUCGAGCGCGUCUGAUUUGAUGCUUGCAUUAAUGAAAGAUGAGCGGCGGACGGGUGAGUAACGCGUGGGUAACCUGCCCUAUACACAUGGAUAACAUACUGAAAAGUUUACUAAUACAUGAUAAUAUAUAUUUACGGCAUCGUAGAUAUAUCAAAGUGUUAGCGGUAUAGGAUGGACCCGCGUCUGAUUAGCUAGUUGGUGAGAUAACUGCCCACCAAGGCGACGAUCAGUAGCCGACCUGAGAGGGUGAUCGGCCACAUUGGAACUGAGACACGGUCCAAACUCCUACGGGAGGCAGCAGUGGGGAAUAUUGCACAAUGGGCGCAAGCCUGAUGCAGCAACGCCGCGUGAACGAUGAAGGUCUUCGGAUCGUAAAGUUCUGUUGCAGGGGAAGAUAAUGACGGUACCCUGUGAGGAAGCCCCGGCUAACUACGUGCCAGCAGCCGCGGUAAUACGUUAGGGGGCUAGCGUUAUCCGGAUUUACUGGGCGUAAAGGGUGCGUAUGUGGUCUUUCAAGUCGGUGGUUAAAGGCUACGGCUCAACCGUAGUUAGCCUCCGAAACUGGAAGACUUGAGUGCAGGAUAGGAAAGUGGAAUUCCCAGUGUAGCGGUGAAGUGGUGAAAUAUUGGAGGAACACCAGAGCGAAGGUGGCUUUUCUGGACUGGUACUGUCACUGAGGCACGAGAGCGUGGGUUGCAUACUGGAUUGAGAUACUCUGGAGCCCAAGGGGGAUUCCUGCAGUGGAUAUCUUGCUUAUCUUUUCUCUUGACCUCGAGGGGGGGUAAGAAAAGCACAUGUUUGUUUCUGAUUAAAUGUGGUUGGUUAUGUGUGUCCUGCAUGUUGCCCUGUGCCUUUGUGCUGCGUUAGUGCCCUGUGAUGUGGUGUGUGCUGUCCUGUGUUUUGGAUGUUGUGUGUUUGCUUGGUGUUGUGUGUGGGUGUGUGUCGCGGUGUUGUUGUGUGUUGGCGUGUGUGUUCAUGUU